rnacentral:rRNA from 1 species
UAGGGAAUCUUCCGCAAUGGACGCAAGUCUGACGGAGCAACGCCGCGUGAGUGAAGAAGGAUUUCGGUUCGUAAAACUCUGAUGUUAGAGAAGAACAGCGCAUAGAGUAACUGUUAUGCGUGUGACGGUAUCUAACCAGAAAGCCACGGUUAACUACGUGCCAGCAGCCGCGGUAAUACGUAGGUGGCAAGCGUUGUCCGGAUUUAUUGGGCGUAAAGCGAGCGCAGGCGGUUAGAAAAGUCUGAAGUGAAAGGCAGUGGCUCAACCAUUGUAGGCUUUGGAAACUGUUUAACUUGAGUGCAGAAGGGGAGAGUGGAAUUCCAUGUGUAGCGGUGAAAUGCGUAGAUAUAUGGAGGAACACCGGUGGCGAAAGCGGCUCUCUGGUCUGUAACUGACGCUGAGGCUCGAAAGCGUGGGGAGCGAACAGG